AUGGUGCCCGGUUAUAGCAAUCUUGGAGAUUACCUGCCUGACGAUGUACAUUAUGAAAUCAUGGAGGUGGACAAACACAAAUACCAUUACGGGAAGCCUCUCGUCAAAGAUGAAAGAUCUCUAAGCACGAUGAUGCGAAGACUACAUGAUUGGUACAUGAAAACCUGCAGAGAGUCUGAUGGGAUGCAUACUUUGACGCUGAGAGUUAAACCGGAGCAUGACCUCGUUGGAAUUGAUCUGCUGAAUGUUCCAUUUGAGGAUUUCUUCCAGUUUUACAAUCAAAAGGCCCUCGAUAAAACAACAAUCACUUGCUACUGUCUAUUGAAGAUCGCCGAAUUGAAGAAAAGACAAAUCAGUGAUAUUGGGCUCAUUAACACAAAUCUCAUAGAUGCAUAUACGGUUGAAAAACAUCCCAAAGAAGCCGAGGCCAACUUGCUACAAUCGUUGGUAUUAAAUCAAAACAAAGAUAUAAUACUAUUUCCUUACAACUUCAACUUCCACUAUAUUCUCCUAGAGAUUAAGAUUGAGCAGGGAGUAGUAACCGUCUUAGACUCGAGACGAAAAGAUCCCCAGGACUAUGCGAACAUGACUCAAAUGCUCGAGAAGGUUUGGAGAAAAUUCACCUCAAAAGCUCUGGGACUGCCGAAGAAGCUGCAAUUUAAUCACCCGAAAUGGUUGUGGCAGGAACCCGGUAAUAAUUACUGUGGAUACUACGUUUGCGAGUCCAUCCGCUACACGACCUGUGAGCGGGGCUACACUGAAGAACAAUAUGAAAUGUUUCGGAAGCGGGAUGAACUCCUAGCACCAGAUCGUAUGCGAGAAUUCAAGAGGAAUUUGCGGCAUUCUUCCUUGAGCACGUGA
rnacentral:rRNA from 1 species